ACUAGUUUUUAUAUUUAACUUAUUAGUUUUGUAUUUUUUUUUUUGUUUUUUUUUGUCUUUUGUCUUUUUGUUGUUGUUGUUGUUGUUGUUGUUGCUAUUUCUUGGUCCGCUUCCGUGGCAUAUGGAGCGGCCCAAGAAAUGGCAAAAAAAAAAAAAAAAAAAAAAAAAAGAACAAAAACAAGGAACGAAGUAAUGUUGGAGGAAUGUAUUCAAAGGAUGGUUACCAACGGAAGCUAUGAUAUUAAUAUUAUCAUUCCAUAGUUUAAGUAUUAUUAUAUUGGAUUUGUUUUUGUACUAUAUAGAAAAUAAAUAAGUGAUUUAUUUAAGGAAAAUAUGGAAAAUUAUAUGGUUUGUUAAAUUAUAAAAGAAAAGAGGGUACAAUUAUACUUUGCUUAAGUGGUUAAAAAAUUAAGUGAUUAUGUUGCAGAGAAAUGUUAAGAUCAGAACAGAUUCAUAUCUUUUAUUUCUUACAUUUUAUUUAGUUACUUUUUUUCAGUGUGUGUAUAUUUUAUUUGUAAUGUUUAAAAUUUUUGAAUAGGUAAUACAUGACUCAAAACACCUGUUUUUUAAAAAUAAAAUAAAAUGGCUUGUAGUGAAAAGUCUUGAUAAACCCUUUCUUCUCACCAAUGAAUAAGCUAUGCUGUGAUUUUUGGCCCAAAUCCUGAAUCCUCAACAAGGUUCAUUGGAGAAAGCCGUCCUUUAAUUUCAUAAAAGGGACAAUGAUACAAACAGUAGUUACUCCCCAUAUCAUGGCCAUGUCAAACUUUAGGCCUAGCUUCAUAUAUCUUAUUAUAAGAAGGCAUUUACCCAGACAGUGUGACGAUAUAAUAGCAAGCAGUUUGAGUGCUUUGGUUUGUGCUUAAUUUUUUAGCUUUACUAUAACAUGCAUAGAAAAGUAUGUAGAUUUUUAAUGCACACAAGGAUUCACAAAGUGAACACACCCAUUUAAUCAUCCCCAAGGGCAAAAAGUAGCUUAUCAUCAGUUUUUCCCAAAACCCACUUGUGCCCCAUCCCAAUCACAAUCUCCUAUCUCCUACACAAAUAUUGCCACCACUCAUUCCAUAGAUAAUAGUUUUGGCAUUAAAGAAUAUUGCAAUAUUAUGUAGAAAAGUAUACAAACCACAUGUACAAUGCCAUGAAUUGUCACAAAGUGGAAACAUUUACAUCAUCAGCACUCAGCUUAACAUAAAAAUAAAACAAAACCAAACAAAUCACUGCCAAUGUCCCUGAAGUCCCCACUACUGUAACUUCAACAACUCUUUCUGAACUUUAUAUUG
rnacentral:lncRNA from 1 species